GGCUAGGCAGAAGCCAGCAGAGUGAGAACCUUUCCUCCCCAGCCUCUCCCACAUCCUCCCACUGACCUAAGGACUCAGCCAUCCUUCGUUGAGGUGAGUGAGGCCCAUCAUGUUUCAGUAUGAGGACCACGGAGUCAAACUACUUGGGUUCAACUCCCAGCUCUACCACUGUUAACUACAGGGGAGCUACGUCAGCCCAGCAGCACGAAGGUUGGUGGCAGUGGCCCUUGAUCGGGGCCUGAGGCUCUGCAUCCUUCAUUUGAAAUUA